UCACACUCUGUCUUCUCAAGUGUUGCACGCAGGUCAUAGAGUUCAUUUUUCCAGAUACAGCGUUCUUGAAAUUCCAAUAGCUCCAUUUCCAGAUUUCCAAAAUCUAACCAGUGUAAGCAGAAAAUAUCAAGGUCUUCAAAUUUGGCUUUAUCUAGAGAAGUAAGAAAACACAGGGUUGUCCCCAUCUUAAGGAACUUAAACAUCUGUUUCUAAAAUUAUCCUUCGCAGCUGCCACGAUACUAGAAAAUUCCUUGAAGAUUUCCUGAUGGCAUGUAGGAUUGUCUGCAAAUGUUGUGAAUUUUCUAAAUUUCUAAGUAAAGCAUUAUACUGUACUUGAACCUCAUCAAGAAGUGCUUGAAAUUGUUGAAAAUUAAGAGCAUGAGCCAUAAUGUAAUUCAUUUGUGUGACAUCUUUGAGGAUACCGUGUAAGUUUUGCGUUUUCCCUGGGACAAAGAGCUUCUUGAUACACAACACAAUAGAACUGAAUGACUGGAUGUUUUGCUUCUUUAGCAAAGCACUGUAUGAACUAGAUGUUGCCUCCACCAUUCAUGGUGCUCUGUCACUAGUAACUGAAAUCACUGUUUCUGGUUUUAUGUCUGUGACAAAAAGGCCUCCAUCACAGCACUGUAGAUGUCCAUCCCUUGUCUUCUUCCAGGCAGUGCUACCAGUUUCACCGCUCUUCUCUCAUGAUGUCACCAGCAGCACACUGAAAAAUUACUGCUAGCCUUGCAUGAUUAUUUAUGUCUGUGCUUUCAUCCAAGCACAGGGAGUACCAGGUUGCCUUUUGUAAGUCAGUGGUGAGAUGCUGAUGAGCAUCACUUGCCAUGCACAGGACUCAAUCUGUAACAGUAUUUCUGUUAAGUGGUAUCCCAGAGAUGCGAUGUAUAAUUUUACUCUCGUUUGGGAAAACAUGAAAAAGGAAUUACUCCCAGACAACAUGGCCAUUUUGACAAAGUCCCCACCAGAGAGAGGCUUACCAUGUUUUGCUAUGCAAAGUGAAAUCUGAAAGCUGGCAGCUGUCAGAUGAUUUGUUUUAGAAAGAAGUUACAAAAACUAAGAUACUAGAAAUGACAUUUCCUUAAUUUCCCCUCAAGAAACUCUUUCCUUUUCAUUUCACCAAGUUCUGAAACACUUUGUGUUUGGUGUCAAAGUGCCAUCUGACACUUGAUGUGUGACACACAACACUUUCUUAUUGCAUAGCGUCACUCCAAAUGACUGUCUAGCUUCUUGGAAUGAUCUCCACUAUCUGUUUUCAAUUUUGCCUUUUGUAUUGUAGUCAUUUUUUGGUGCUCAAGACUUGGAGUCUACAAAAAUACAAAAUAAAAAAAUGAAGCACCCAAUACAAAUCUAUCCCUAUACUAAAAAUAGCUAACACCAGUAGUUAACACUAAAGAAUUGGAUAUUUCCUGAAUCAAUAACGUAUGGCCGUGAUUCUCAGGGGCGGUUCCUCUUGAAUUUGCUGACCACCAGCACAAGGGGGCAGUGUUCCACUGACCACCACCUUUUGGUCUGCUCUGAAAAAGACAUCUGAGUGUGCUUCCUACCUUGUAGGGCCUUCUGCUAAAAUCAGAGCUAGUCCAAGCAAAUAUAUAAAUCUUUGCUCUUGUUUAUAAAUUCUUCACAAACAACUAGCUAUAGUGCUGCAGAUUCAAAUAUGCCGGGGGGGGGAGGGGGCAGCACAACAUUAAAGAAUCUCAAUCUCUAGAUUGAAACAUCUUUGAUAAGUCUUAGAUAUUAAAUUUCAAUUUUUCAUAAGAAAACUCAAAGCUAAAAUCUUGUGUUAACAAAAAUGAACGCAUUAAAACUCACAACCAGUCCAAGCAAAUACAUGUAUGUCCUUGGCAGCACACUGACCGCCACUUGAAAGCUCCGAGGAGCUCGAGCUGUGCCUAAUGAGUCGCAGCUCGUGACGUCAUCACCUGGCGCUGCCACUCCUUUCCGAGCAUGUGCAUGGCCUCUGUGGGUGCUGCUCUGAUGCUCGGCUUGGUUUGCAUGCUGACAGAGAGGGCUCUGCAUGACAUAGGUUUGCCAUCACUAUGCUAAGGUGUGCUGCACCCACUGGAGAGGGCACCUGCUGUCUGGGUGCCCGAAGCCUGAGGACGCACCCUUGGGUACCGGGCACACCUGCUGUGGGGCUGACACGUGGCUCCUUCAGUUUUACCAAGACGUGAUGGAAACUUGGUUGACAACGUGUUGUGUUCUGAGAAGAAUGAGGCCACCUGAUGCAAAAGUGGACGCGGGAUCAAACUGGGAAGAAAUCUUUCAUGUCAGUUUUCUGAGACUAUUCAUACUCAUCUGUGUCACGGUAACAGCAUAUCUCAUCUUAAAAGUGAAAUGCUAAGUGUCUGAGGAACAGGUUGUACUGCUCAAUGACCAGGGUAAUCAGCACGAACCUAACAUUUAUCCUGAUAAUAACCAGUGAAUGUGCAAAGGGGAAGAGACAGACUUACUGCAUCCAUGAAAACACCGUGUCCCUCUUUAACAUUUAUAAUAUCUAUAUAUAGCACUAUAUUUCAUUAUUAAAGACACAGACAGCAAAAAUAUUCACAUUUAAACUUCUUACAGAAGUUAUUCUUCUAUUGAGGAAAACCGAUGACACUAACUAACGGGCAACCAAACAGGGAAUUCUGCUCGGGAGACUUAUUCAGCUGAGGGUUUCUUUUUAAAAUACAGUUUAGAAAAGUAAUGAAAGAGGUCCCAGGUAUAUUUUCCAUUUGGAGGUCAUCCCUUUCAAUCUGAGUUAUGGUUCAUGGGUAAAGUCAGAGCUUUUGGUGAAAUAAAUGAAUAAUGCCAAUUUAUUUCUUAUAAACAAAUGCGUACAUCAAAAAACUGGAAUUGCUGCACAGCGCCUGGCAAGAUGAGUGAGAUGACUAAGGAC